AAAGCGUCAGCUCCACAGAAGAAAUUCUGGUUUUUGAUAACUGCUGUUCCCUUGAGUGGACAUGGGGUGAUGAUGCCCCUGCAUACUACACUCAUUUUUUGCAGUUGGGGAAUGUUACAAGGAAAUAUCGCUGAUUGUCUAACGACCCGUGCUACCUGGAUGAGUUCUUACGGCAUAGGCUGCUUGGCACAAAUAUCUGGUGUGCCACAAAUUUCACCACUUGGGAGUUUUUGUGCAAACCUGUUAUUUUGAAUGGGGGAAGUUACAAGGAAAUGUCAUUGGUCUGUCCAAUGGCCUGUACUGCCGGGAUGAGAUCUUGCUGGCCAUGAGUUAAUUCGGUGACAAUAAUAUAUUGUUUACAAAAUAAUAAUAAUAUGUGUUAUUAGAGCCCUGAAUAAAAAUCCGGUCUCAUUCCUUUGUAAUUCAUUGGCGUCAAUCUUUUCUAAUAAAAAAAAAACGACAUCAAAAUAUCUCAAACUUCUGUUAGAAAUUUCAUUUGCGACUUUACCGGCGACUACUAAACAGUAAAUCAUUGAGAAAUCCCCAAUGAAAUUCAGCAGCACCCUUUCCGAUCACUCCUCCAGAUUUGAUCACGCUGGUCAUUUAGGUUUGGGAGCGAGUCCAGUUAAUCUGAAGUGUGCGGGAGUGGACUGUGGCUUGUAAAGCAGAUUAUGGAUAUUGUUUAGAAUUUACACGCUGAUAGUCCUUGGGAGUGAAAUUUUUCUGACAAACAUUUUUAAACUAGUGAAAAAUUAUCACCAUGUAGUUUAUCUGCAAGUUUGUAGCGGGGUGAAUUGAAAGAGAACUUUUAAUAUUAAGUGUAAAAAAAUAUAUUCAACAAAUAGCAAUAAUACAUCAAUUUCUAGUGAUGUAAAUAUAUGUAGUCAAAUUCAGUAUCACAUUGCUCACCAAAUAUUAAAACAUAUGAAUUUCCUAGGAAUAUAAAAGAUUUACAAUUUAGUUGAUUAACUGCUCUGGUUAACAAAAAUCUCACUCACUCACUCUCUCUCUCUCUUUCUGUCUUUCCGUCUCUCUCUUGGCACAUGAAAUUCUUCGUUACUAGUCAUUAACCACCUGCCUUCGACAAAUGCCCCGAUUAACAUACCUGGAUUUCCAAUUAUACUUAAUCAAAUAGUUACGCCGAUCCAUCUUCAGCAACGACCAUAUGCAUAAUUCGAUUGAUGAGCUGAAAAUAUUAUGACUCUAUACGAAUUGUUUACAACCAGGAGCAAUCUAAAAGCGGAUCCUCUC
rnacentral:misc_RNA from 1 species